CCUCAUAGGCAUUUAAUCUGAACUCCAUAAAAUGCCUCUGUUUGUUCUUUAUCCACAGGUAAAACCUGUUAGUUAACGCCGAAACUGAGCUGCUGAAUUCAGGCCCACCUGGGGGACAGUGCUUCACACCAGAGCCCUGAGAGCUCAUGACUCAUCACAUGGAUAUAAAAUCUAACAUACGAGUUCCCAGUCUGAGCUGUAGUUCAUGAAAAUUACCUCCCAAACCAUUAUUCGCUGAAGAUAGAUGUCACACCCAGGACAUGGAUGGUCUAUCCAGCCGUUCAGAAAGGACUGGAAUACCCACGUGGAAGAAUAAAGGCAAGAUGUCGCUGCCUUAAGAGAAAUUAUUGGGAUGCUGACAGAACAAUCUUUGUUAUGUAGGAUUGUUUGUGUCCUGCACAGUAUCUGCAAAGAGGUGAGACUUUUCCGGGAAUGAAACCUUGAUAGUGCUUGAGACUGUAGACAGCUGUAGCUUAAAAAAGCAGUGUUUGCCUUUACCAGAGGGAGGCUAGGCAAAUUAGGAAACUUAUAGUUGUUCAAAUUCGCAGGUUAUGAAAUACUUUAUAGCAUCUCAUCCCAACCUGUUACAGGGCUUGAAAUUGUCUAUUGUAAUUAAUUUAUAAACCUGUAGGGUGAAAGGGCUACUAAUAUGUGAGGGGUAAUCUUUUCCUGAUUAAUUUUAUGGAUUGUGGAGGGAGGGAGAUUGAUUUUUCUGCCGAAUUAAGUAUUGAUUUAAAAGUAGCUUUUUAUGCUACCUAGUUUGGGGUCAUGGGGUACUAUUUCAGUGGAUUUUGUAGAUUGCUUGCUGUGUUUUCCUUUUUCAAUAAAAUCUUUUGGC
rnacentral:lncRNA from 1 species